ACUAGUGACACGGGGUGCAAAAGCACUUUAAAAAAGCUUUCGCUGAGAUUACACCCGUCGAACCUGAUCCAGUUAGUACUGGCGAAGGGACUGUCGCAUUGGACCCAU
rfam:Corynebacterium glutamicum ATCC 13032 DNA, complete genome.